GAUGAAGAACGUAGCGAAACGCGAUAAGUAAUGUGAAUUGCAGAAUUCAGUGAAUCAUCGAAUCUUUGAACGCACAUUGCGCCCAUUAGUAUUCUAGUGGGCAUGCCUGUUCGAGCGUCAUUAAGUCCACUUAAGCCCUGCUUAGUGUUGGGAGACUGCUCCAGCGGUGCUACCCUGUAGCUACCCUGCAGCUCCUCAAAGACAGCGGCGGAGUUGUGGUAUCCUCUGAGCUUAGUAACUUGUUCUAGCUUUCGAGUACACCACUUCCCCUGCCGUAAAACCCUUAAUUUUUAAUGGUUGACCUCGGAUCAGGUAGGAAUACCCUCUGAACUUAAGCAUAUCAAUAAGCGGAGGA
rnacentral:misc_RNA from 1 species